UUCUCUAAUUAUAGUUUUUAGCCACUUAAACACGUAAAAAUUAUUAUGAGACUUGAACUCUUGUAUAAUUCUGAAAAUCAAACUUUUUUGAAAGAAUUCGGAGCUGACAAUAGAAAUUUAGCAACAAACAAGAUCUUAAACCAGCCUAAUGACUUUGUUUUAAGACUCUAUUCCAAAAAAAUAAUUAUUUGAUUAUUUUGUUGUCGACCUACAUGCAAAUAUCAUAAUAAAAGGAAUGUCUCAACUUACAAUGCAAUAGUGAAUUCAGCAUCCGCAUCACUUUCGGUCAAAAAUAAAUUUCUAAUCAAAUGCUCUUCAAUCAGUAUGUAACUUAAGAUCUACCAACAAAUAUUAGUAUGUACAAGAAUUAGUACAAGUAUUAGCAUGCAUUUUUUUAAAAUAAAUAUUGGCAUAUAAUAUUAAUUAGUACUAAUUAUUACUAAUAUUAAACAACAUUACAAAAUCACUUCUGUAAAAUUUUUUUACCGAUUAACUUUUUAAAAGUACUUUAGAAAAUCGCUAUUCUGUCAGGCUAAGCCAAACGCUUUACAGUUUUUUACAAAAUCACCUUUUCAAAUCAAAAUUAAUUCUGUAAAAAUUAUUUUUCUAGAGUCUAAUGCAAACCAUAGUUAGUUAAUUCUCGAAUUAUUCGCAAAUUUUUGAAAUACCGAGUAAAACAGCCGUUUUCGUAUUUUUCCAAAAAAUUCGGCUCUUUUUGGGUAAAAAUAAUUAUUCGCGAAUUAAACGCGAUUUGCGAAUAAUUCGCCCCC
rnacentral:lncRNA from 1 species